rnacentral:rRNA from 1 species
GUAGGUGGCAAGCGUUGUCCGGAAUUAUUGGGCGUAAAGCGCGCGCAGGUGGUUCUUUAAGUCUGAUGUGAAAGCCCCCGGCUCAACCGGGGAGGGUCAUUGGAAACUGGGGAACUUGAGUGCAGGAGAAGAAAGUGGAAUUCCACGUGUAGCGGUGAAAUGCGUAGAUAUGUGGAGGAACACCAGUGGCGAAGGCGACUUUCUGGCCUGUAACUGACACUGAGGCGCGAAAGCGUGGGGAGCAAACAGGGAUUAGAUACCCUGGUAGUCCACGCCGUAAACGAUGAGUGCUAAGUGUGGGGGGGGUUUCCCGCCCCUCAGUGCUGCAGCUAACGCAUUAAGCACUCCGCCUGGGGAGUACGGUCGCAAGACUG